rnacentral:rRNA from 1 species
GAUCCUGGCUCAGGAUGAACGCUAGCGACAGGCUUAACACAUGCAAGUCGAAGGGCAGCGAGGGAGUGGCAACACUUCUGUCGGCGACCGGCGCACGGGUGAGUAACGCGUAUGCAACCUGCCCUUCACAGGGGGAUAACCGGGAGAAAGUUCCGACUAAUACCGCAUACGUCCCUCCGGGGCAUCCCCGGGGGAUGAAAGAAUUAUCGGUGAAGGAUGGGCAUGCGUGAUAUUAGGUAGUUGGCGGGG